rnacentral:rRNA from 1 species
CUCCUACGGGAGGCAGCAGUGAGGAAUAUUGGUCAAUGGCCGAGAGGUGAACCAGCCAAGUCGCGUGAGGGAUGAAGGUUCUAUGGAUCGUAAACCUCUUUUAUAAGGGAAUAAAGUGCGGGACGUGUCCCGUUUUGUAUGUACCUUAUGAAUAAGGAUCGGCUAACUCCGUGCCAGCAGCCGCGGUAAUACGGAGGAUCCGAGCGUUAUCCGGAUUUAUUGGGUUUAAAGGGUGCGUAGGCGGCCUUUUAAGUCAGCGGUGAAAGUCUGUGGCUCAACCAUAGAAUUGCCGUUGAAACUGGGGGGCUUGAGUAUGUUUGAGGCAGGCGGAAUGCGUGGUGUAGCGGUGAAAUGCAUAGAUAUCACGCAGAACCCCGAUUGCGAAGGCAGCCUGCCAAGCCAUUACUGACGCUGAUGCACGAAAGCGUGGGGAUCAAACAGGAUUAGAUACCCUGGUAGUCCACGCAGUAAACGAUGAUCACUAGCUGUUUGCGAUACACUGUAAGCGGCACAGCGAAAGCGUUAAGUGAUCCACCUGGGGAGUACGCCGGCAACGGUGAAACUCAAAGGAAUUGACGGGGGCCCGCACAAGCGGAGGAACAUGUGGUUUAAUUCGAUGAUACGCGAGGAACCUUACCCGGGUUUGAACGCAUUCGGACCGAGGUGGAAACACCUUUUCUAGCAAUAGCCGUUUGCGAGGUGCUGCAUGGUUGUCGUCAGCUCGUGCCGUGAGGUGUCGGCUUAAGUGCCAUAACGAGCGCAACCCUUGCCACUAGUUACUAACAGGUAAAGCUGAGGACUCUGGUGGGACUGCCAGCGUAAGCUGCGAGGAAGGCGGGGAUGACGUCAAAUCAGCACGGCCCUUACAUCCGGGGCGACACACGUGUUACAAUGGCGUGGACAAAGGGAGGCCACCUGGCGACAGGGAGCGAAUCCCCAAACCACGUCUCAGUUCGGAUCGGAGUCUGCAACCCGACUCCGUGAAGCUGGAUUCGCUAGUAAUCGCGCAUCAGCCAUGGCGCGGUGAAUACGUUCCCGGGCCUUGUACACACCGC